rnacentral:lncRNA from 1 species
UGGGAAGGGUUGUGAGGAGAGGAGGGUCAGUUACCAUUUGGUCAUGAGAAGAAGGGACAAAUUCAAGAAGAGCAAAGGUAUUAGAGAUGGGCAUUUUUGGGGUAUCAGAACUAGCAGUUGGAAGAUUUGACGACGGGGCUUUUUUGGCUUUAAAAGUAGCUGAGACUUUUUUAACAUAAGUUCUAGUGGGAGCAUUUUUUGGUGUGGAUUUGGGGAUGAGAGUAGAGAAGGAAUUGGCAGGGGCUUGUUUAGGAUGAUUGGUUUGGAAAGGGCUUUGUAUGGGAAGGUUUGAUUGAGGAUGGUUUUGUUUAGGAGUGUUUUGAACCGAUGGAGAGGGAAGCAGGAGACAGUUCCGAACAAGAUGACCUAGUUCAUGGCAAUGCGAACAGGUUGGAGGGAUCCAAGGGUAAUGAACCAGAACUUCAACAACUUCUCCACUCUGGCGCUGAAAUUCAACAACCGAGGGAAGGGGCU